UACGGAGGAUCCGAGCGUUAUCCGGAUUUAUUGGGUUUAAAGGGAGCGUAGGUGGAUUGUUAAGUCAGUUGUGAAAGUUUGCGGCUCAACCGUAAAAUUGCAGUUGAAACUGGCUGUCUUGAGAUGUCGAGAGGUAUGCGGAAUGCGCAGUGUAGCGGUGAAAUGCUUAGAUAUUGCGCAGAACUCCGAUUGCGAAGGCAGCAUACCGGCGGCGAUCUGACGCUGAGGCACGAAAGCGUGGGUAUCGAACAGG
rnacentral:rRNA from 1 species